rnacentral:ncRNA from 2 species
UAAUUUUACGGAAAAAUAGGUGUCUAUUUAUGAGACUUAAUAGGGAAUUCGGUGAAAAUCCGCAACUGUCCCCGCAACUGUAAUUGUGGACGAAAUGAGAUGACCACUAUAUAAGAUUGUCACUUUUUGUGGUGCUUAUAUGGGAAGGCUCAAAGUAGGGUGAAGCAAAAGUCAGGAGACCUGCCUGUUUUCCAAGUUUCUA